rnacentral:lncRNA from 1 species
GAGGCUUGAUUGAUAGCAGAAGAGGAUAAGUUCUUAAUCACAGGGAAUUCCAUUGGAGAACAAGUUGUGUACCUGGUCCAUAUUCAAGCCUUAUGGAAUGGAUUACUGCACAAGACAAUCCAGAGAAUUCUGGGAAAGUCUAAAUCAGAUUUAAAUCAAUAAUUCUACACUGUUGGAUCACAAAUCAAUCAAGGGCUAGGAGGAUAGCUAGGGUUUCGCCAAGACACUAUAUAAAGGAGCAGAGAGAAACGUUUCUUCAUCUCUUCUUCGCACAGUAAUCGGCAUUUUCGCACGAUCUUACGAGAUUGCGAACAUAUCAACGUUCUCGGAAUCUGCCGAAACCAAAUUCUUGGCUCCUUUUGGGACCUCCAUACACCCACAACAUUGAUCUUUCAACUUUUUUUGAGAAAAUUUGACGUGUUAUUUUUUCGCACGAUCUUAGAGAUUGCGAACAUAUCAACGUUCUCGGAAUCUGCCGAUACCAAAUUCUUGGCUCUUUUUGGGACCUCCAUACACCCACAACAUUGAUCUUUCAACUUUUUUUGAGAAAAUUUGAGGUGUUAUUUUGGCAUUUUCGCACGAUCUUACGAGAUUGCGAACAUAUCAACGUUCUCGGAAUCUGCCGAAACCAAAUUCUUGGCUCUUUGUGGGACCUCCAUACACCCACAACAUUGAUCUUUCAACUUUUUUUGAGAAAAUUUGAGGUGUUAUUUUGGCAUUUUCGCACGAUCUUACGAGAUUGCGAACAUAUCAACGUUCUCGGAAUCUGCCGAAACCAAAUUCUUGGCUCUUUUUGGGACCUCCAUACACCCACAACAUUGAUCUUUCAACUUUUUUUGAGAAAAUUUGACGUGUUAUUUUGGCAUUUUCGCACGAUCUUACGAGAUUACGAUCAUAUCAACGUUCUCGGAAUCUGCCGAAACCAAAUUCUUGGCUCUUUUUGGGACCUCCAUACACCCACAACAAUGAUCUUUCAACUUUUUUUGAGAAAAUUAGACGUGUUAUUUUUUCGCACGAUCUUACGAGAUUGCGAACAUAUCAACGUUCUCGGAAUCUGCCGAAACCAAAUUCUUGGCUCUUUUUGGGUACCUCCAUACACCCACAACAUUGAUCUUUCAACUUUUUUUG